rnacentral:ncRNA from 1 species
GAGCUUUAGAUAUAAAGGAUUUAUAAAAAGACUUGAUAGCUUAUCAAGUCUUUU